UUGAAAUCUGGCUCUCGGGCCCGAGUUGUAAUUUGUAGAGGAUGCUUUUGGUGAGGUGCCUUCCGAGUUCCCUGGAACGGGACGCCAUAGAGGGUGAGAGCCCCGUCUGGUUGGACACCGAGCCUCUGUAAAGCUCCUUCGACGAGUCGAGUAGUUUGGGAAUGCUGCUCUAAAUGGGAGGUAUAUGUCUUCUAAAGCUAAAUACUGGCCAGAGACCGAUAGCGCACAAGUAGAGUGAUCGAAAGAUGAAAAGCACUUUGAAAAGAGAGUUAAAAAGCACGUGAAAUUGUUGAAAGGGAAGCGCUUAUGACCAGACUUGGGCUUGGUUGAUCAUCCGGCGUUCUCGCCGGUGCACUCUUCCAGUUCAGGCCAGCAUCAGUUUGCUUCGGGGGAUAAAAGUUUCGGGAAUGUGGCUCCUCCGGGAGUGUUAUAGCCCGUUGCAUAAUACCCUGAUCCAGACUGAGGUUCGCGCAUUUAUGCAAGGAUGCUGGCGUAAUGGUCAUCAGCGACCCGUCUUGAAACACGGACCAAGGAGUCGUCUUCGUAUGCGAGUGUUCGGGUGUCAAACCCCUACGCGUAAUGAAAGUGAACGCAGGUGAGAGCUUCGGCGCAUCAUCGACCGAUCCUGAUGUUCUCGGAUGGAUUUGAGUAAGAGCAUACGGGGCCGGACCCGAAAGAAGGUGAACUAUGCCUGUAUAGGGUGAAGCCAGAGGAAACUCUGGUGGAGGCUCGCAGCGGUUCUGACGUGCAAAUCGAUCGU
rnacentral:rRNA from 1 species